CCUACGGGAGGCAGCAGUGGGGAAUAUUGGACAAUGGGCGAAAGCCUGAUCCAGCCAUGCCGCGUGUGUGAAGAAGGCCUUCGGGUUGUAAAGCACUUUCAGUGGGGAAGAAAGCCUUGGGGCUAAUACCCUCGAGGAAGGACAUCACCCACAGAAGAAGCACCGGCUAACUCCGUGCCAGCAGCCGCGGUAAUACGGAGGGUGCGAGCGUUAAUCGGAAUUACUGGGCGUAAAGCGCGCGUAGGCGGUCUGAUAAGCCGGUUGUGAAAGCCCCGGGCUCAACCUGGGAACGGCAUCCGGAACUGUCAGGCUAGAGUGCAGGAGAGGAAGGUAGAAUUCCCGGUGUAGCGGUGAAAUGCGUAGAGAUCGGGAGGAAUACCAGUGGCGAAGGCGGCCUUCUGGACUGACACUGGCGCUGAGGUGCGAAAGCGUGGGUAGCAAACAGGAUUAGAUACCCCAGUAGUC
rnacentral:rRNA from 1 species